rnacentral:ncRNA from 1 species
CAUAGGUUUGGUCCCAGCCUUUCUGUUAACUUUUAGUAAACGUACACAUGCAAGCAUCCACGCUCCAGUGAGAAUGCCCUUCAGGUCAACAAGACCAAAAGGAGCGGGUAUCAAGCACACACCCGUAGCUCAUGACACCUUGCUUAACCACACCCCCACGGGAGACAGCAGUGACAAAAAUUAAGCCAUAAACGAAAGUUUGACUAAGUUAUACUAAUUAGGGUUGGUAAAUUUCGUGCCAGCCACCGCGGUCAUACGAUUAACCCAAGCUAACAGAAGCACGGCGUAAAAUGUGUUUAAGCGCCACACUAAAUAGAGUUAAAUUAAAAUUAAGCUGUAAAAAGCCCUAAUUUUAAUAAAAAUAAACGACGAAGGUAACUCUAAAAUAGCUGAUACACUAUAGCUAAGAUCCAAACUGGGAUUAGAUACCCCACUAUGCUUAGCCCUAAACACAAAUAAUUACAUAACAAAAUUAUUCGCCAGAGCACUACCGGCAAUAGCCUAAAACUCAAAGGACUUGGCGGUGCUUUAUAUCCUUCUAGAGGAGCCUGUUCUAUAAUCGAUAAACCCCGAUAAACCUCACCAAUCCUUGCUAAUACAGUCUAUAUACCGCCAUCUUCAGCAAACCCUGAAAAGGAAUAAAAGUAAGCACAAUUAUAAGACAUAAAAACGUUAGGUCAAGGUGUAACCUAUGGACUGGAAAGAAAUGGGCUACAUUUUCUAUCUCAAGAAAACUUAAUACGAAAGUUGCUAUGAAACUAGCAACCAAAGGAGGAUUUAGUAGUAAACUAAGAAUAGAGUGCUUAGUUGAAUCAGGCCAUGAAGCACGCACACACCGCCCGUCACCCUCCUCGAAUGACUAAAACACACUUAAACAUAUUUAAACGCACCAACCACAUGAGAGGAGACAAGUCGUAACAAGGUAAGCAUACUGGAAAGUGUGCUUGGAUAAAC